AAAAACAAACAUUUUUGGUUCCUCAUCAUGGAGUUCAACUGGAGAAGUGUGUGUGUGUGUGUGUGUGUGUGUGUGUGUGUGUGUGUGUGUGUGUGUGUGUGUGUGUGUGUGUGUGUGUGUGUAAACCCUGACAGUGUGCAGGCUGUUUGUGGGAGGCAGGUGCUAGUGAAUGGAAUGCAUGUGAUUGUAUGAACAGGUUAAGCUCUAUUUCAGUCUCUAUAUUAAAACUUGUAUUCAAAACUGAUUAUAGUGUUUCAGAAAAAAAAAUACAGAAUAAAGUAAAACAACACAGCACAAGUCCCAAAAUAAAAUCGCUGCCUUUAAUGUCACGUUUGUCUGAAAGCUUCCUCAAAGUCAUUUUACGUAGUUUACGGUUUUAACGUAGCAUCUACUUCAUUUAUGCCAAGUUGGGUACAGACGCAGGAGAACUCAACACUGCCCCCUGGUCGCAGCCUUUGGUAUAACAGCUGUUCCGUCUGAGCAGAAUGGAUCAGAAAUCGAUCUGCGCAGGGCCGGCUUUGGCGACAGGCGACACAGGCGGCCGCCUGGGGUGCCAUCUGAUGGAUAGGGCGCAAAAUAAAAAAAAAAAAAAAGUUUAUUACAUUUAUGUUUGUUAUGUGAAAUGCACUCUCUACAUACUCAAAAUUCCCCUCUGAAAUGACAUGAAAUUAAAACAUCAAUAUUUAAAUUCUAAUGAUCUGUCUGCGUGACGAGCUCCCGCUUGGGCCACCGCUCCGAUGCAUUUGACCGUUAAGGGUGCCGUAGAUCACGUGCGUGGGUAGCGCUGUAGAAGGACAUCCUGUUGUCGUCACGUUUAAACUUUUGGUAUUUUACGAUGAAAAGAACACCUAAGCCAUCGGGAUCAGCAUUCCGAAAGCGAAGGAAGGAGGAAGGAAAAAACGGGCCCAAAGCAGAGGUAUGUGGACUUUAUAAAUUUGGCAAAGGAACUUUUUGUGUUACCAUUGUAGCUAACUGCCUCUCCUGCCACGCACGGACCCUCGCUAGCUGUUUACAUACACAAUACAGUAUCUCAUAACUUUAACCAAUUAAUUUUACUUUUGAAUCGUCGUGUCCAGAUGCAGUGAGACAAUAUCUGCAGCCACACAGGCACCUGUGGACACCACGGGGGCGGGACUGUCUUCUACACCUGUUGAGUCUCAUUGUGAUGACGAAGAACGUAAGAUCAUCUGCGGUCCUCUUCUACCAACUAAAUAACGCCAGCGUCAUAAACCACGUGUCCCAGGCAGGGCACCGUAGUAGAAGAGCAGUAGUGGUGCACGUAGGUGCGUGCGCAUGCAAUGUUCUUUAUGUCCUUUAUGACGUCACGCACAGCUGCCUGUAAAUAGCUCAAAGCAGCUCUUAAACUCACUUCACACCAGAUACUCGACGGAGUAACAGUUAAGACUCAGCUUAGAACAACAUGUCUACUUUUGACAACAUGAGUGAAAAUAUGAAUGUUGAAGCUCUUCUCAGAAUGCCUCGACCAGCUCUGAAAGAUGAACUUUUGAGAUUUAUGGCUGAAAAUAAAACAAUGCAAGAGAAGCUCUUCACAAUGAAGAAUAAACAUGAAGACAAUAUUUCUGCAGUCACCUCAGAAUUGAAACAAUGUCAUCACGACCAAUUGUUAGAGAAAGAGAAACAAAUUAAUUUACUUAAGGAUGACGUUAGGAAGAAAGACAAAAAAAUAUUGAAAUUACAAGACGAAUAUCGAAUGUUAAGGAUAGAUUUGGAAAAGGAACUCAUCAAAGUUAAGCAACAGAGAGACGCCGUUGGACUACUGGAGUUUGAAAAUCAUGAUUUACAAAACAAGAUUACUUUUCUGACCAAAGAAAACGAGGAACUGUUGAAAAAUAAACGCGCGUUAGAUAUUAGAAUGAAUCACAUGGACAGAUGUCACACUAAGGCCCAAACCAAGAUUUUAGAACUAGAAGAACAAUUACAAAAUGAAACUACCAGCCGCGUCCAGGCAGAAACAUUGAUCAAGAUGUUGACGCCUGUUGGAUAAAAAUUGUGGUAAUCAAACAGAGUUUAACAUCGUUAUUUACAUUUAAAUUAGUAAUGCCUCCCUCCUGCAGCUAAUCAAGGCCAGACUGGAUGUCUCCAUGGUCCAGUGUUGCCAGAUCCAAAAUCCCACAAUAUCGUACAGAGAGGCCUAAAUUAUCGUUUUUCAGUACAAAUUAUCGUACAUUAUAAAUUUGAUAAUAACGUUCUAUAAACGACUUCUCACUCCAUUAUAAUAUAACAAAGAAGGUGUUUUAUAUUGCCCUGUUUAAAUAAACAUAUUUAAAACCAGUAAUAUAAUGCCUAUAAACGUGCCACAUUAUAUAACCUUACAGUUUCUCGCAAGAGUAGGCCCUAUCGAUGUGAUUGGGCUAUUUAUUGUACAGAUCCAGAGUCAGUUUUUGUAAUAGACACAAUAGCAUAAGCACUGAGGUGAAAUCUGACUUCAAAACAGUUUAAAUUAUGUAAUGGACUUGGGAAAGCCACAGCAAAAGACGGUGUUACUAGGUGCAAUGUGAAAUUAUCGUACAUUUGAGGAUUUUUGAAACUAUUGAUCGUACAUCGUACAGAGCCCAAAAUUAUGGUACAAAUACGAUAAUUAUCGUACAUCUGGCAACACUGCCACGGUCCUGCUGUGAAACCUCUUUGAAGUAUUCCCUUUUGUCUUCCGUGAUAAGUAGGUGUGGUUAUCUCUGGUGAUGUGAUUCCUAAUAAAAGCUCUCGACAGCUUUACCUCUGUGUGAGAACAAACCGCCUCUGACUCUGGUGUGUAUGUUUCACCCUUUGCAAAGUUGAAUUUGUUGAUUGAUUGUAUGCUGAUUAUAAUUAAGCAAAUUAUUAAUCUAAUCCCUCUGUGUAUGCUCUGACUUUCUUUGAGGUAAUUUUGGGAGUAAUAUAAAAUUAUCCAACAACGCCUUUCAAACAUAUAGCCAACUAUUUGGAAAUCGAAAAUGAGUCACUGAAAGAUGAGAUACACAAACUAAAAAAACAAAUCUGCAGAACGCAUCAACCAGAUUCAUCUUUUGACUGAAAAAACCAAUGAGCAGCAACUGGAACUUAACUUUCACCAUGAAUACUGUAGAAAUAGAUGACAAGCCUCCCAGAUACAUAAGGAUGACCAGAUGGUAGAACUAAAAACAGAGUUACACACUUCUCAGAUGAACUGUCGGACAGCCCAAAACGAACUUAGCAAAUACAAGCAUUUAAACAAUGUCCUUUCAGAUAAAUUGUCAAAUGCCAAUCAAGAAAUACAUAAAUUAGAAAAAGAUAUCCAUAAAUCUGAACAUACGAAGUGGCUGGAUUCAAGAAAUCAGGAUCAGAAGACUCUUAGAGAUAAGUGUGAUGCUUUGGAGAAACAACUGCAGCAUACGAAGAUAAAAGUUGGCACAUGCAACGGAGCAAAUGAAACGCUCAGCUAAUGAAGACAGAAUAAGAACUAAUGAAAUGAAAAUGUUAGAAGAAGAUAAAAGAGAAUUAUCAAAGCAGCUGGAGUUGAAGACAGCACAGAUUAUUGAACUAAAUGGUAAAUUACAACAGACUAAUCAUAAGUUAGAAACCAACAAAACGUUUGCAACACACGAAAAAAGGCUUCUUGAACGGCGCUUGAGAAAAAAUGAGAAUGUUCCUGUGGCAAAUCCGUCUUCUGCUCAGGAAGGAUGCUCGACUCGUUUCAGGAAUCACGUUGUCUUGCCCUCUAAAGCACCCAAAAGGAAAGAUAAUCCCCUUCCUCCGAUAAAUAAGUAAGUCCCUCUAGAUUUCACGCAACACAUCAUGAGAAGACUAACAAAAACACCUUAGAACAUCUCUGAAUGAGGUCCGACUAAUCAUUAGAUAGCUAGAUGAUGUUAGAACACAUCACUACUUAGACAAAUCAUGUGUUGAAAACUUAGUGAUGUCAUAAAGGAAAAGGGGAAGUGCCAUAGUUAAAGGAAUUAGAUGAAGGACUUGGGAUAUGCAAAAACAGGUUAAAAUUGGGAUUUCUCUCUCUCUCUCUCAGGAGGUUUAGGCUCUAUGCUGCAAGAGAUCUCUAACCAGAUAGAAAGUUCACUCUGAAUUCACUCCACCCAGCUGUGGAGACGAUAACCAGUUGUUGUGUGUCGGGGUGAGUACUCCUCCUUCUCUACAACAUCUUUGUGAGAUCUUCAUUCCAGGAGAGGGCACUCACCAGCUGCGGAGCAUUACCAAUCAGCGGCAGCGGCAGAUCCUCAGAUCAACCGCAGCAGAGCUCUAUUUAAGAAGAGAGGGAACUACUUCACAUCGCUGGAUGAUUAGCUACUCACGGAUACUUGGAAACGCUGAACCAUUGAUGGAAUAUACCUACCUGGAACUCACCAUAACCUGCCUGGACAACAACUCUCAUGGUUCGCCUCUCCUCCUGUUCCUCCUAUCCUCUGCCGCCAUCAUCUGGCUCCCUCUCCUGGACGCACCCCGUCACACCAUCUGCCCUCCCUACUGACUUCUGGACUCUUUCUGGCUUCAUUGAACUUGGAUAUCUCCAGGACACUUUUAGUUAGGUUUAAUAAAUCAUUGUUUGAACUUUC